UGCAAGUCGAACGGCAGCAUGAUCUAGCUUGCUAGAUUGAUGGCGAGUGGCGAACGGGUGAGUAAUACAUCGGAACGUGCCCUGUAGUGGGGGAUAACUAGUCGAAAGAUUAGCUAAUACCGCAUACGACCUGAGGGUGAAAGUGGGGGACCGCAAGGCCUCAUGCUAUAGGAGCGGCCGAUGUCUGAUUAGCUAGUUGGUGGGGUAAAGGCCCACCAAGGCGACGAUCAGUAGCUGGUCUGAGAGGACGAUCAGCCACACUGGGACUGAGACACGGCCCAGACUCCUACGGGAGGCAGCAGUGGGGAAUUUUGGACAAUGGGCGAAAGCCUGAUCCAGCAAUGCCGCGUGUGUGAAGAAGGCCUUCGGGUUGUAAAGCACUUUUGUCCGGAAAGAAAUGGCUCUGGUUAAUACCUGGGGUCGAUGACGGUACCGGAAGAAUAAGGACCGGCUAACUACGUGCCAGCAGCCGCGGUAAUACGUAGGGUCCAAGCGUUAAUCGGAAUUACUGGGCGUAAAGCGUGCGCAGGCGGUUGUGCAAGACCGAUGUGAAAUCCCCGAGCUUAACUUGGGAAUUGCAUUGGUGACUGCACGGCUAGAGUGUGUCAGAGGGGGGUAGAAUUCCACGUGUAGCAGUGAAAUGCGUAGAGAUGUGGAGGAAUACCGAUGGCGAAGGCAGCCCCCUGGGAUAACACUGACGCUCAUGCACGAAAGCGUGGGGAGCAAACAGGAUUAGAUACCCUGGUAGUCCACGCCCUAAACGAUGU
rnacentral:rRNA from 1 species